rnacentral:rRNA from 1 species
GACGGGGGGGGGCAAGUGUUCUUCGGAAUGACUGGGCGUAAAGGGCACGUAGGCGGUGAAUCGGGUUGAAAGUGAAAGUCGCCAAAAACUGGCGGAAUGCUCUCGAAACCAAUUCACUUGGGUGAGACAGAGGAGAGUGGAAUUUCGUGUGUAGGGGUGAAAUCCGCAAAUCUACGAAGGAAGGCCAAAAGCGAAGGCAGCUCUCUGGGUCCCUACCGACGCUGGGGUGCGAAAGCAUGGGGGAGCGAACAGG